rnacentral:rRNA from 1 species
CACGCUGUAAACGAUGGAUGCUAGCUGUUGGGGGGUUACCUCUCAGUAGCGCAGCUAACGCGUUAAGCAUCCCGCCUGGGGAGUACGGUCGCAAGAUUAAAACUCAAAGAAAUUGACGGGGACCCGCACAAGCGGUGGAACAUGUGGUUUAAUUCGAGGCAACGCGAAGAACCUUACCAGGAUUUGACAUGCUCUCUAUGGAUUCCCGAAAAGGAAUCCUUCACUUCGGGUGGGAGAUGCACAGGUGC